rnacentral:tRNA from 1 species
GAAGGUAUCGCUCAGUGGUAGAGCGCAUGCUUAGCACGCACGAGGUCCUGGGUUCAAUCCCCAGUACCUCCU